UGAGACACGGACCAAACUCCUACGGGAGGCAGCAGUGAGGAAUAUUGGUCAAUGGACGAGAGUCUGAACCAGCCAAGUCGCGUGAAGGAAGACGGAUCUAUGGUUUGUAAACUUCUUUAGUGCGGGAACAAAGCGGCGUCGUGACGCCUGAUGAGUGUACCGCAAGAAUAAGCAUCGGCUAACUCCGUGCCAGCAGCCGCGGUAAUACGGAGGAUGCGAGCGUUAUCCGGAUUUAUUGGGUUUAAAGGGAGCGCAGGCUGCGAGGCAAGUCAGCGGUCAAAUGUCGGGGCUCAACCCCGGCCUGCCGUUGAAACUGUCCUGCUAGAGUUCGAGUGAGGUAUGCGGAAUGCGUUGUGUAGCGGUGAAAUGCAUAGAUAUGACGCAGAACUCCGAUUGCGAAGGCAGCAUACCAACUCGCGACUGACGCUGAGGCUCGAAAGCGUGGGUAUCGAACAGGAUUAGAUACCCUGGUAGUCCACGCAGUAAACGAUGAAUACUAACUGUUCGGAGGGCGACCUCUGAGUGGUAAAGCGAAAGCGUUAAGUAUUCCACCUGGGGAGUACGCCGGCAACGGUGAAACUCAAAGGAAUUGACGGGGGCCCGCACAAGCGGAGGAACAUGUGGUUUAAUUCGAUGAUACGCGAGGAACCUUACCCGGGCUUGAACUGCCAGUGACUCAUGCAGAGACGCAUGUUUCUUCGGACACUGGCGGAGGUGCUGCAUGGUUGUCGUCAGCUCGUGCCGUGAGGUGUCGGCUUAAGUGCCAUAACGAGCGCAACCCUUAUCUUUAGUUACUAACAGGUCAUGCUGAGGACUCUAGAGAGACUGCCGUCGUAAGAUGUGAGGAAGGUGGGGAUGACGUCAAAUCAGCACGGCCCUUACGUCCGGGGCUACACACGUGUUACAAUGGGGGGUACAGAGGGCCGCUGUCCGGUGACGGUUGGCCAAUCCCUAAAACCCCUCUCAGUUCGGACUGGAGUCUGCAACCCGACUCCACGAAGCUGGAUUCGCUAGUAAUCGCGCAUCAGCCAUGGCGCGGUGAAUACGUUCCCGGGCCUUGUACACACCGCCCGUCAAGCCAUGAAAGCCGGGGGUACCUGAAGUACGUAACCGCAAGGAGCGUCCUAGGGUAAAACUGGUAAUUGGGGCUAAGUCGUAACAAGGUAGCCGUACCGGAAGGUGCGGCUG
rnacentral:rRNA from 1 species